rnacentral:rRNA from 1 species
CACGUAGGGUGCGAGCGUUGUCCGGAAUUAUUGGGCGUAAAGAGCUCGUAGGCGGUGUGUCGCGUCGGCCGUGAAAACCUGCAGCUUAACUGUGGGCGUGCGGUCGAUACGGGCAUCACUGGAGUUCGGCAGGGGAGACUGGAAUUCCUGGUGUAGCGGUGAAAUGCGCAGAUAUCAGGAGGAACACCGGUGGCGAAGACGGGUCUCUGGGCCGAUACUGACGCUGAGGAGCGAAAGCGUGGGGAGCGAACAGG